ACGAGAGGAUAAUUAUAGCUAUUUAUUCCAAAUAAUAAAAUAAGUCAUAAGCAAAAAAUGUGUUGAUAGCACAAACAGCUAAAUAACAUCUAUAAUGAGGAACGACAGAGUUUAUGAAAUUCUAACAAAAUCCCAACAUCAAAAUGCAUUUAAAAGCAAACAACAAUCUAUUCAUCAAAAAGACCAAAACCGAUAUCAUCAUCUGAUUCCUCAGCUGGCUCUUCCUCCUUCUCGGGCUUGGCAGCAGCUGCAGCUGGAGCAGCACCGGAACCAGCAGCAGGUGCAGCAACAGCAGCUAGAGCAGCAAAUUUGCUUGGAUCCUGUAAACAUAAUUGUCAAUUAAAAACAAAAGUUCUGAAGAUAUUUUAUUAGCUUUUCAAUGGAAUUCAUGGUGAUUGGUGGAUGAUGCCCUUUUUCCUUGGAUGAAUGGCUUGUGAUCAUGCAUGCACUGGGAGUCAUAUGAAUCAGUUCUCACUACAAACGUAAGUGUCAUGAUGAAUCGCAUUUAUCCGAAAUAUUAUUAAAUUUCAAGUCACUUUUUCUUUAUAUAUCUUUGAAAUAAAAUUAAUUAAUUUUUGAAAAGAUAACCAUAAUAAUGAGAUUUAUCCGUAAUUAAGUAAUGAUUGGACAUUAUUUCAUCUUGUCUAGAACUUUGUUAACCAGAUAAGUUUAUAAAGAUACAUUUACAUGUUUGGAUAAUAUUUGUUGUUUAAUAGCAUACACUGAAAUUGAAAUUAAGACAAGUUUAGUAGAUGAUCCUUUGUUUGGAAAAUAGAGAAAAAAUACAUGUGGCUAUACUAAGAACAUGAACAGGAUGAUUUACCAUCAUUCACCCAAAUACGAUGACAACACUACAAUUGUACUGUAAUAGAUUUGAUUACAAAUUUUAUAACUUAAUGAAGCUUCUCUGGACUCUACAUAUUUUUCAAUAUAAUCUCUUUAAGCUUUUGAUCAAAAUAUUAUUUUCAAUCUGACAUUGGGUCUACUUCCAUCUCCAAUAUUGGUAGCACAUUCUAACUUAAAUCCUAAGACAUCUUCGCCAUCUCCACAAACUCCUUAAUGAAAUACCAUUGUGCUUCUUCAAUUUCAAGAACUCGUAUGGGAUAUCCUUAAUCUCCAUUAGGAGCUUCAAAAUUAUGUGCAUAACAAUUCAUCACAACCUUCUCGAAUUUUCUACAACUGAUCAAAUCAACGAUUCUGUCCGGGAAGGCACACAAGGUUGUGACCAAGAGUACAAUUCUCGUGGUUUUGUAUGUGAUCCUACAACAUAACUCCUAUUGCGUAUGCCACACUAGAUUUAUGGAAGGAGUCGAAUCAAAAGAUGGACCUCUAGAUGAGGUUCACUUUUCACAAGGCGAGUGUGUCGACACACAUACUCAUCUUGUGUUCAAUGGAGAAAAGGAACGAUAACCCACACAAUGCCAAAUGUCUCAAGGGUUGUACCUUGUUUUUGCAAACCUGAGAUGUGGCGACUGGCGAGAGACUCGAGAGAUCAGCUCCACUCUUAACAAUUAGUGUAGAGUCUGGGGUCAAUUAAAAUGGUCGAGAAGAAUGUGAUUUCAAAAAGAACAAAAUCUUAAACAAACUGGGUUACAUACCCUGAUACACAGGCGGGUCUAAUCCAAUUUAUGAUACGUCAAAUUCUUUAAAUGCUGAGCAUAUGUAUUAAAACUGUGACUAAAAAACAUACUAGCAUGUGAGCACACAAAAAAUGCAUGUUCAUCAACUCAGAGAGGCAUUAAACUUCAAGAGCAAGGACGAAGAACAAAGAGGGAGUGCAGUAACAAUGAAAUAUAGGAGGAUAAAUGCCCAAGUAAGUCUGAUAGGUUAUUAGUACAUCAAUGAGUUUGAGACGCAUAGAAAACCAGCAUAAUGGUAGAUCGAAACCAUUUUGGGGCCAGUCCAGUUUUGAUAACAAAGCUAGAGAGUAUAUGUAACUAAAAAAUGUGCAAACUCUAAUAGACAAUUUGAGAAACGUUGAUAUAAAAACUCGGGGAAAAUUGUGAAGCCCAAUUCUUUUUUACAGCGGAGUAGAGUUGGGACUGAAAAGGGGGCUCUGAUGCUACGAUUGACAGUAGAAGCCUUUUAAGCACCAACAACAUUCAUCGGGCACAAACAAGCUACGAGAGGAUAAUUAUAGCUAUUUAUUCCAAAUAAUAAAAUAAGUCAUAAGCAAAAAAUGUGUUGAUAGCACAAACAGCUAAAUAACAUCUAUAAUGAGGAACGACAGAGUUUAUGAAAUUCUAACAAAAUCCCAACAUCAAAAUGCAUUUAAAAGCAAACAACAAUCUAUUCAUCAAAAAGACCAAAACCGAUAUCAUCAUCUGAUUCCUCAGCUGGCUCUUCCUCCUUCUCGGGCUUGGCAGCAGCUGCAGCUGGAGCAGCACCGGAACCAGCAGCAGGUGCAGCAACAGCAGCUAGAGCAGCAAAUUUGCUUGGAUCCUGUAAACAUAAUAGUUCCACAUAUAAGAAAGAAUAAUACUUUCAACUAUUUGGGAGUCAGAUAAUCAAAAAUGUAGAA
rnacentral:lncRNA from 1 species